CCUACGGGGGGCAGCAGUGGGGAAUAUUGCACAAUGGGCGCAAGCCUGAUGCAGCCAUGCCGCGUGUGUGAAGAAGGCCUUCGGGUUGUAAAGCACUUUCAGCGGGGAGGAAGGCGGUGAGGUUAAUAACCUCAUCGAUUGACGUUACCCGCAGAAGAAGCACCGGCUAACUCCGUGCCAGCAGCCGCGGUAAUACGGAGGGUGCAAGCGUUAAUCGGAAUUACUGGGCGUAAAGCGCACGCAGGCGGUCUGUCAAGUCGGAUGUGAAAUCCCCGGGCUCAACCUGGGAACUGCAUUCGAAACUGGCAGGCUAGAGUCUUGUAGAGGGGGGUAGAAUUCCAGGUGUAGCGGUGAAAUGCGUAGAGAUCUGGAGGAAUACCGGUGGCGAAGGCGGCCCCCUGGACAAAGACUGACGCUCAGGUGCGAAAGCGUGAGGAGCAAACAGGAUUAGAUACCCCAGUAGUC
rnacentral:rRNA from 1 species